rnacentral:rRNA from 1 species
AGUGAACGCUGGCGGUAGGCCUAACACAUGCAAGUCGAACGGCAGCACAGUAAGAGCUUGCUCUUACGGGUGGCGAGUGGCGGACGGGUGAGGAAUACAUCGGAAUCUACUUUUUCGUGGGGGAUAACGUAGGGAAACUUACGCUAAUACCGCAUACGACCUACGGGUGAAAGCAGGGGAUCUUCGGACCUUGCGCGAUUGAAUGAGCCGAUGUCGGAUUAGCUAGUUGGCGGGGUAAAGGCCCACCAAGGCGACGAUCCGUAGCUGGUCUGAGAGGAUGAUCAGCCACACUGGAACUGAGACACGGUCCAGACUCCUACGGGAGGCAGCAGCGGGGAAUAUUGGACAAUGGGCGCAAGCCUGAUCCAGCCAUACCGCGUGGGUGAAGAAGGCCUUCGGGUUGUAAAGCCCUUUUGUUGGGAAAGAAAAGCAGCAGGUUAAUACCCCGCUGUCCUGACGGUACCCAAAGAAUAAGCACCGGCUAACUUCGUG